UGUUAAAAAAUGGAUAGACACCAAAUUUAGAGAACUACAACUUGCUGAAUCAAGUCAGAAAGGAAAAGAAGUAGAGAUGAAUCAUGAUUUUGUGGAAGAAGAAAAGGAAUAUGAAAAGGAUGAAAAUGAAAACAUAUUGGAUCCUCUCUCUCAGACUCGGAAAGGUCGGCCUAGGCAAAACAGAAUGAAGCCAACAAGUAGGCGAAGAAAGAAGAAAAUUGAUCUAGCUGCUAAUGUGCCCAUCAACAAUCCAUCACAGUCUCAAGAGGGUGUUCAUUCCUACACACAAGAUAACAUGGUUUCAAAUGUUUACAUGACACAAGCAAAUACUGUGCAUCCAUGGGGAAUGCAGUUGCCUCAAUUUCCAAUGCCUGGAGAUCCACAUGCGAUGGGGUUGACACCUUGGUAUGGAUUGCAUCAAAGAAACAUGAUGUGAUGCAUCAAAACUAUGGGUGGACCUGCUGUGUGAUUUUCCAGAGUGUGAUUUUCAGGUGGACUUGCUAGUCUUCUUUCAGGUGGACCUACUGUGUGACUAGUGUGCAUGAAACUAAAUUGAUCCAGAGUGUGAUUUUCCAUUGCCUGUUACUGCAUACGGAUGUUAUUGUCCUGCUGCUCCUGCUGCUUCUGUUACUGCUGUUGGAAAACUAUGUUAUCUUUGAGCUAUUUCUGUCUUCUGUGUGCUGUUG